AUAGGGGUGUGCAUCGGUCGGUUCGGCCGGCCGACCGAUCGAAUUUUCACUAACCGACCGACCGAUCGGUGCUUAAAGAAACUAACCGAUCCGACCGAAUAUUGAAUCUUUAACCGGCCGAAAACCGAACCGAUCAAAUUUCGAUUUUCGACCGACCGAUACAAACCGACCGAAUUUAGCUGUUAAAGUCAAAAGCAAUGAAACAAGCAAUAAAUUCCCAUUCCUUCGAAUUCGAACUGCAAGCUAAAUCCUUAUCCAACCAAUAACUAAUAGCAAUAGCAAGCUAAUUUCAAUUUCAACAGCAAGCUAAAUUGAAUUCAGUUUGAACAGCAAGCUGAAUUGAAUUCAAUUUCAACAACCAAUAAUCAACAACAAGCAAUUCCUAUUUAGCGCACAGAGGAGGCGGCGCAGCGGAAGCGGAUUCAGAGGCGGGGCGGCGGGAGACAGAUCGGGGGCGCGUCGAACCGGGGGAGGCUGCCGGAGGCGCGUCGGACGCGGAGGAAGGGUAACACAGUCUGGAGGGCUUCUGUGGGAGGAGGCAGACACCUGAGAGUUGGAGACUUCAGUGGCUGGGUGGGGGAGGCGUGCCGGAGGUCUCGCCGGCUGGGGGCUAGGGGUGAGGGUGGCGAGUUCUGGGUCUGGGGGGUAGGGGGAGGCGCCGCAUGAGAGAGUUUAGAGAGAAGUGAGAUUAGGGUUAGGUAGUUAGCUUAAAGGUUAGGAAAAUUUAGAAAAAAAAAAUAUAAAUAUAUAUACUAUCGGUCGGUUCGGUUUUCGACCGACCAAAUUUGAAAAAACCGAACCGACCGAGAAAACCGAAUUUUCUAAAAAAAAUGGGCCGAACCGACCGACCAUAGCUAAAAAACCGACCG
rnacentral:lncRNA from 1 species